rnacentral:rRNA from 1 species
AUUGAACGCUGGCGGCAGGCCUAACACAUGCAAGUCGAGCGGUAGAGAGAAGCUUGCUUCUCUUGAGAGCGGCGGACGGGUGAGUAAUGCCUAGGAAUCUGCCUAGUGGUGGGGGAUAACGUUCGGAAACGGACGCUAAUACCGCAUACGUCCUACGGGAGAAAGAGGGGGAUCUUCGGACCUCGCGCCAUUAGAUGAGCCUAGGUCGGAUUAGCUAGUUGAUGAGGUAAUGGCUCACCAAGGCGACGAUCCGUAACUGGUCUUAGAGUAUGAUCAGUCACACUGGAACUGAGACACGGUCCAGACUCCUACGGGAGGCAGCAGUGGGGAAUAUUGGACAAUGGGCGAAAGCCUGAUCCAGCCAUGCCGCGUGUGUGAAGAAGGUCUUCGGAUUGUAAAGCACUUUAAGUUGGGAGGAAGGGCAGUAACCUAAUACGUUAUUGUUUUGACGUCACCGACAGAAUAAGCACCGGCUAACUUCGUGCCAGCAGCCGCGGUAACAC